AGUCGAACGGUGAUAGCGGAGCUUGCUCUGCUGGAUCAGUGGCGAACGGGUGAGUAACACGUGAGUAACCUGCCCUUGACUCUGGGAUAAGCGUUGGAAACGACGUCUAAUACCGGAUACGACAACCGAUGGCAUCGUCUGGUUGUGGAAAGAAUUUUGGUUGAGGAUGGACUCGCGGCCUAUCAGCUUGUUGGUGAGGUAAUGGCUCACCAAGGCGACGACGGGUAGCCGGCCUGAGAGGGUGACCGGCCACACUGGGACUGAGACACGGCCCAGACUCCUACGGGAGGCAGCAGUGGGGAAUAUUGCACAAUGGGCGAAAGCCUGAUGCAGCAACGCCGCGUGAGGGAUGACGGCCUUCGGGUUGUAAACCUCUUUUAGUAGGGAAGAAGCGAAAGUGACGGUACCUGCAGAAAAAGCACCGGCUAACUACGUGCCAGCAGCCGCGGUAAUACGUAGGGUGCAAGCGUUGUCCGGAAUUAUUGGGCGUAAAGAGCUCGUAGGCGGUUUGUCGCGUCUGCUGUGAAAACUGGAGGCUCAACCUCCAGCCUGCAGUGGGUACGGGCAGACUAGAGUGCGGUAGGGGAGAUUGGAAUUCCUGGUGUAGCGGUGGAAUGCGCAGAUAUCAGGAGGAACACCGAUGGCGAAGGCAGAUCUCUGGGCCGUAACUGACGCUGAGGAGCGAAAGCAUGGGGAGCGAACAGGAUUAGAUACCCUGGUAGUCCAUGCCGUAAACGUUGGGAACUAGAUGUGGGGACCAUUCCACGGUCUCCGUGUCGCAGCUAACGCAUUAAGUUCCCCGCCUGGGGAGUACGGCCGCAAGGCUAAAACUCAAAGGAAUUGACGGGGGCCCGCACAAGCGGCGGAGCAUGCGGAUUAAUUCGAUGCAACGCGAAGAACCUUACCAAGACUUGACAUAUACGAGAACGGGCCCAGAAAUGGUCAACUCUUUGGACACUCGUAAACAGGUGGUGCAUGGUUGUCGUCAGCUCGUGUCGUGAGAUGUUGGGUUAAGUCCCGCAACGAGCGCAACCCUCGUUCUAUGUUGCCAGCACGUUAUGGUGGGAACUCAUAGGAGACUGCCGGGGUCAACUCGGAGGAAGGUGGGGAUGACGUCAAAUCAUCAUGCCCCUUAUGUCUUGGGCUUCACGCAUGCUACAAUGGCCGGUACAAAGGGCUGCAAUACCGUAAGGUGGAGCGAAUCCCAAAAAGCCGGUCUCAGUUCGGAUUGAGGUCUGCAACUCGACCUCAUGAAGUCGGAGUCGCUAGUAAUCGUGGAUCAGCAACGCCACGGUGAAUACGUUCCCGGGCCUUGUACACACCGCCCGUCAAGUCAUGAAAGUCGGUAACACCCGAAGCCGGUGGCCCAACCCUUGUGGAGGGAGCUGUCG
rnacentral:rRNA from 1 species